UAUUGAAAAGACGAUGUGUUUAGGGC
rnacentral:piRNA from 1 species